CCUACGGGUGGCAGCAGUGGGGAAUAUUGGACAAUGGGGGGAACCCUGAUCCAGCCAUGCCGCGUGUGUGAAGAAGGCCCUCGGGUUGUAAAGCACUUUCAGUGAGGAAGAACGCCUGGUGGUUAAUACCCAUCAGGAAAGACAUCACUCACAGAAGAAGCACCGGCUAACUCCGUGCCAGCAGCCGCGGUAAUACGGAGGGUGCGAGCGUUAAUCGGAAUUACUGGGCGUAAAGCGCGCGUAGGUGGCUUGAUAAGCCGGUUGUGAAAGCCCCGGGCUCAACCUGGGAACGGCAUCCGGAACUGUCAAGCUAGAGUGCAGGUGAGGAAGGUAGAAUUCCCGGUGUAGCGGUGAAAUGCGUAGAGAUCGCGAGGAAUACCAGUGGCGAAGGCGGCCUUCUGGACUGACACUGACACUGAGGUGCGAAAGCGUGGGUAGCAAACAGGAUUAGAUACCCGUGUAGUC
rnacentral:rRNA from 1 species